ACUGCAUCCUAAGCGCCAGCACUUGGCACCAGGGUUCGGCACACUGGACAAGUGGACGAGGUGGAGGUGUUCGGAUUGUUCGGCGGGGACCUCCCGGUGCGCCAACGGCACCGCAAUAGCAUGACGGAAAGCGGCAAGGUGACUUGCCGGACAACGCCUGCUUACGUUGACA
rnacentral:ncRNA from 2 species